UCGAGCGAGGCGGAGGGGGCAACUCCUCCAGCCGAGCGGCGGACGGGUGAGUAACACGUGGGUAACCUGCCCGGAAGUGGGGAAUACCUCGGGGAAACUCGAGCUAAUGCCGCAUGACAUCACCGGGACGAAAGUUCUGGCGAUCAAAGCGGGGUCGCAAGAUCUCGCGCUACCGGAUGGGCCCGCGCCCGAUUAGCUAGUUGGUGAGGUAACGGCCCACCAAGGCGACGAUCGGUAGCCGGCCUGAGAGGGUGAUCGGCCACACCGGAACUGAGACACGGUCCGGACUCCUACGGGAGGCAGCAGUGGGGAAUCUUGCGCAAUGGGCGAAAGCCUGACGCAGCAACGCCGCGUGGAGGAUGAAGGCCCUUGGGUUGUAAACUCCUGUCGGCUGGGAAGAAAUCGUGCGGUGCUCAUACCACCGCGCGUUGACUGUACCAGCAAAGGAAGCCCCGGCUAACUCUGUGCCAGCAGCCGCGGUAAUACAGAGGGGGCCAGCGUUAUUCGGAAUUAUUGGGCGUAAAGGGCGCGUAGGCGGCCUUGCGUGUCUUUCGUGAAAUCCCUCGGCUUAACUGAGGACGUGCGGAAGAAACUGCAGGGCUCGAGGCCGGGAGAGGGGGGUGGAAUUCCCAGUGUAGCGGUGAAAUGCGUAGAUAUUGGGAGGAACACCGGUGGCGAAGGCGGCCCC
rnacentral:rRNA from 1 species